rnacentral:rRNA from 1 species
UGGGGAAUUUUGGACAAUGGGCGAGAGCCUGAUCCAGCAAUGCCGCGUGUGUGAAGAAGGCCUUCGGGUUGUAAAGCACUUUUGUCCGGAAAGAAACCCUUGGCUCUAAUACAGUCGGGGGGAUGACGGUACCGGAAGAAUAAGCACCGGCUAACUACGUGCCAGCAGCCGCGGUAAUACGUAGGGUGCAAGCGUUAAUCGGAAUUACUGGGCGUAAAGCGUGCGCAGGCGGUUUGCUAAGACCGAUGUGAAAUCCCCGGGCUCAACCUGGGAACUGCAUUGGUGACUGGCAGGCUAGAGUAUGGCAGAGGGGGGUAGAAUUCCACGUGUAGCAGUGAAAUGCGUAGAGAUGUGGAGGAAUACCGAUGGCGAAGGCAGCCCCCUGGGCCAAUACUGACGCUCAUGCACGAAAGCGUGGGGGAGCAAACAGGAUUAGAUACCCUGGUAGUCCACGCCCUAAACGAUGUCAACUAGUUGUUGGGGAUUCAUUUCCUUAGUAACGUAGCUAACGCGUGAAGUUGACCGCCUGGGGAGUACGGUCGCAAGAUUAAAACUCAAAUGAAUUGAC